UACGUAGGGUGCGAGCGUUGUCCGGAAUCAUUGGGCGUAAAGCGCGUGUAGGCGGUCCGGUAAGUCCGCUGUGAAAGUCGGGGGCUCAACCCUCGAAAGCCGGUGGAUACUGUCGGGCUAGAGUACGGAAGAGGCGAGUGGAAUUCCUGGUGUAGCGGUGAAAUGCGCAGAUAUCAGGAGGAACACCAAUUGCGAAGGCAGCUCGCUGGGACGUUACUGACGCUGAGACGCGAAAGCGUGGGGAGCAAACAGG
rnacentral:rRNA from 1 species